rnacentral:rRNA from 1 species
AUUGAACGCUGGCGGCAGGCUUAACACAUGCAAGUCGAGCGGGGGAAGGUAGCUUGCUACCGGACCUAGCGGCGGACGGGUGAGUGAUGCCUAGGAAUCUGCCUAUUAGUGGGGGACAACAUCUCGAAAGGGACGCUAAUACCGCAUACGUUCUACGGGAGAAAGGAGGGGAGCUUCGGACCUUGCGCUAAGAGGAGAGCCUAAGCCGGGUUAGCUAGUUGGUGGGGGAAAGGCCCACCAAGGGGACGGUCUGUAGCGGGUCUGAGAGGAUGAUCCGCCACACUGGGACUGAGACACGGCCCAGACUCCUACGGGAGGCAGCAGUGGGGAAUAUUGGACAAUGGGGGGAACCCUGAUCCAGCCAUGCCGCGUGUGUGAAGAAGGCCUUAUGGUUGGAAAACACUUUAAGCGAGGAGGAGGCUACUCUAGUUAAUACCUAGGGAUAGUGGACGUUACUCGCAGAAUAAGCACCGGCUAACUCUGUGCCAGCCGCCGCGGUAA